rnacentral:misc_RNA from 1 species
GAUGAAGAACGCAGCGAAAUGCGAUAAGUAAUGUGAAUUGCAGAAUUCAGUGAAUCAUCGAAUCUUUGAACGCACCUUGCGCCCUUUGGCCAUUCCGAAGGGCAUGCCUGUUUGAGUAUCAUGAACACCUCAACUCUUUAUGGUUUUCCAUGAUGAGCUUGGACUCUGGGGGUUUUGCUGGCUCACAGUCGGCUCCUCUAAAAUGAAUCAGCUUACCAGUGUUGGGUGGGUAUCAUGGGUGUGAUAACUAUCUACGCUUGUGGUUUUUCCACCAGGUAACCUUCAGCAGUGGAGGUUCGCUGGAGCUCAUAGAUGUCUCUCCUCAGUGAGGACAGCCCUUUGAAUGUUUGAUCUCAAAUCAGGUAGGACUACCCGCUGAACUUAAGCAUAUCAAUAAGCGGAGGA